rnacentral:rRNA from 1 species
AUUGAACGCUGGCGGCAUGCCUUACACAUGCAAGUCGAACGGCAGCGGGGGAGAAGCUUGCUUUUCCUGCCGGCGAGUGGCGCACGGGUGAGUAAUACAUCGGAACGUGCCCUGUAGUGGGGGAUAACUAGUCGAAAGAUUAGCCAAUACCUCAUACGACCUAAGGGUGAAAGGGGGGGACCGCAAGGCCUCAUGCUAUAGGAGCGGCCGAUGUGUGAGUAGCUAGUUGGUGGGGUGAAGGCCUACCAAGGCGACGAUAAGUAGCUGGUCUGAGAGGACGAUCAGCCACACUGGGACUGAGACACGGCCCAGACUCCUACGGGAGGCAGCAGUGGGGAAUUUUGGACAAUGGGCGAAAGCCUGAUCCAGCAAUGCCGCGUGUGUGAAGAAGGCCUUCGGGUUGUAAAGCACUUUUGUCCGGAAAGAAAUGGCUCUGGUUAAUACCUGGGGUCGAUGACGGUACCGGAAGAAUAAGGACCGGCUAACUACGUGCCAGCAGCCGCGGUAA